rnacentral:lncRNA from 1 species
AAAAAAAAAAAAAGAAAGAAGAUAAAAUAAACUGAUGGAAGGAGAAUCAAAAGCUUUCCGCAGAUGAGGCGUAUACUGGGGAAAGAGAAUGAAAGUGUAAGACACGAAGACUCAGAGCACCUGGAGAAGAGGGAUAGAGAGACCAGAGGUGGGUGCGGGAACAGGGCAACACUACAUUCAGGGCUACUGGAGUGGGGCCAGGAAGCAGUGAGACAGAAAUGUACCAUUCACUCAAAAUAAUACAGGACCAUCACUGGAGUCUGAUCUGCUCCGUAUUCAGUGAAGAAGUGAAUAAGAGGAAUGAAGACUUUAGUUUUUUAAGUGUCUCAGAGCAAAUGUAGAUCAGCUUGCUUAUCUGCACUUUCCUCUGUCAUGUAUAUUAACACCAUAAUCAUCACUGUUUGUUCAUAUAUUUUGGAUGCAUUGACAGCUGUCCACACAAAAAAUGCCCCAAUUCAGUAGCAAUUUCUCUUUUUUUAAUUUGGUUUACAACAUUUUCAGUCAAAGUUGCAAAGUUUUCUAAUUAGCACUUACGCUUUCCAGAGUGGCUAAUAUGUGUAGCUCCUGCUUUUAUUGUCCCCAGAGCUCAUGUCCUUACUUGAACAAGCAUUUAAAGCAAGUUUUAAUGACUUUUUUUUUUUACAGAAGUGUACACAAUAGAGUGAAUAAAUAAAACUUCUUGAAUAAAAAAAA